UCCCCCUUAGCUCAGCGGUAGAGCGCUUCACUCGUAUAUCAGUAUGGCAGAGUUGAUGAAGAGGUCAGUCGUUCAAAUCGGCUAGGGGGAA